rnacentral:rRNA from 1 species
GACGAACCGUGCGAACGUUAUUCGGAAUCACUGGGCUUAAAGCGCGUGUAGGCGGCCCGGCACGUCCGUCGCUGAAAUCCCCCGGCUCAACCGGGGAAGGGGCGCGGAUACGACCGGGCUGGAGGGGGGUAGGGGGAUCGGGAACUUCCAGUGGAGCGGUGAAAUGCGUUGAGAUCGGAAGGAACGCCCGCGGCGAAAGCGCGGUCCUGGACCCCACCUGACGCUGAGACGCGAAAGCCAGGGGAGCGAACGGG